GACGAACGCUGGCGGCGUGCUUAACACAUGCAAGUCGAACGAUGAAGCCGGAGCUUGCUCCGGUGGAUUAGUGGCGAACGGGUGAGUAACACGUGAGCAAUCUGCCCUUGACUCUGGGAUAACUGCGGGAAACUGUAGCUAAUACCGGAUACGACACCUUGGGGCAUCCCAGGGUGUGGAAAGAAUUUCGGUCAAGGAUGAGCUCGCGGCCUAUCAGCUAGUUGGUGAGGUAAUGGCUCACCAAGGCGACGACGGGUAGCCGGCCUGAGAGGGUGACCGGCCACACUGGAACUGAGACACGGUCCAGACUCCUACGGGAGGCAGCAGUGGGGAAUAUUGGACAAUGGGGGAAACCCUGAUCCAGCAAUGCCGCGUGAGUGAUGAAGGCCUUAGGGUCGUAAAGCUCUUUUACCAGGGAUGAUAAUGACAGUACCUGGAGAAUAAGCUCCGGCUAACUCCGUGCCAGCAGCCG
rnacentral:rRNA from 1 species